rnacentral:rRNA from 1 species
GACGUAGGGGGCCAGCGUUGUUCGGAAUUACUGGGUGUAAAGGGUUCGUAGGCGGUGUGGCAAGUCGGGAGUGAAAUCUCUGGGCUCAACUCAGAGACUGCUUCCGAAACUGCUGUGCUGGAGUGUGGGAGAGGCGCGUGGAAUUGCAGGUGUAGCGGUGGAAUGCGUAGAGAUCCGGAAGAACACCGGUGGCGAAGGCGGCCUGCUGGGCAGUGGCUGACACUGAGGCGCGACAGCGUGGGGAGCAAACAGG